rnacentral:rRNA from 1 species
UAAUUGAAGAGUUUGAUCCUGGCUCAGAUUGAACGCUGGCGGCAUGCCUAACACAUGCAAGUCGAACGUGAAAGAGGGGCAACCCUCAAGUAAAGUGGCGGACGGGUGAGUAAUACGUAGGAAUCUGCCCUAGAGUGGGGGAUAACCUGCCGAAAGGCGGGCUAAUACCGCAUACUCUCUACGGAGCAAAGGUGUCACGCAUUCAAGUGCGUGAUUUCGCUUUAGGAUGAGCCUACGUCGGAUUAGCUAGUUGGUGGGGUAAUAGCCUACCAAGGCGACUAUCCGUAGCUGGUCUGAGAGGACGAUCAGCCACACUGGAACUGAGACACGGUCCAGACUCCUACGGGAGGCAGCAGUGGGGAAUAUUGGACAAUGGGGGCAACCCUGAUCCAGCAAUGC